UGUGUUCCUGUCCUGUCUUUCCACAAUACUAUUGCAGAUCAACAUAAAAGCCGUAAAGACAGCUGUGGUGUCGCUCUUCAUUUCUUGGUUCUCCUGUGGUGCAUAUAAGACCCGCUACAUUUAGGCAGGUCAACAUUCACAAGGCCUCAGGGCCAGACGGAUUACCAGAACGUGUACUGCGAGCAUGCGCUGACCAACUAGCAAGUAUCUUCACUGACAUUUUCAACCUCUCCCUGUCUGAGUCUGUAAUACCAACAUGUUUUAAGCAGACCACCAUAGUCCCUGUGCACAAGAACACUAAGGUAACCUGCCUAAAUGACUACCGACCCGUAGCACUCACGUCUGUAGCCAGGAAGUGCAUUGAAAGGCUGGUCAUGGCUCAUAUUAACACCAUCAUCCCAGAAACCCUAGACCCACUCCAAUUUGCAUACCGCCCCAACAGAUCCACAGAUGAUGCAGUCUCUAUUGCACUCAACACUGUCCUUUCCCACCAGGACAAAAGGAACACCUACGUGAGAAUGCUAUUCAUUGACUACAGCUUAGCGUUCAAUACCAUAGUGCCCUCAAAGCUCAUCAAUAAGCUAAGGACCCUGGGACUAAACACCUCCCUCCGCAACUGGAUCCUGGACUUCCUGACGGGCCGCCCCCAGGUGGUAAGGGUAGGUAACAACACAACCGCCACGCUGAUCCUCAACACACGGGCCCCUCAGGGGUGCGUGCUCAGCCCCCUCCUGUACUCCCUGUUCACUCAUGACUGCAUGGCUAGGCACGACUCCAACACCAUCAUUAAGUUUGCUGAUGAUUCAACAGUGGUAGGCCUGAUCACCGACAAUGAUGAGAAAGCCUAUAGGGAGGAGAUCAGAGACCUGACCGUAUUGUGCAAGGACAACAACCUCUCCCUCAACGUGAUCAAGACAAAGGAGAUGAUCGUGGACUACAGGAAAAGGAGGACUGAGCAUGCCCCCAUUCUCAUCGAUGGGGCUGUAGUGGAGCAGGUUGAGAGCUUCAAGUUCCUUGGUGUCCACAUCACCAACAAACUAACAUUGUCCAAGCACACCAAGACAUUCGUGAAGAGGGCACGACAAAACCUAUUCCCCCUCAGGAGACUGAAAAGAUUUGACAUGGGUCCUCAGAUCCUCAAAAGGUUUUAC
rnacentral:lncRNA from 1 species